rnacentral:rRNA from 1 species
CCUACGGGAGGCAGCAGUAGGGAAUCUUCCGCAAUGGACGAAAGUCUGACGGAGCAAUGCCGCGUGAACGAUGAAGGCCUUCGGGUCGUAAAGUUCUGUUGUUAGGGAAGAACAAGUGCUAGUUAAAUAAGCUGGCACCUUGACGGUACCUAACCAGAAAGCCACGGCUAACUACGUGCCAGCAGCCGCGGUAAUACGUAGGUGGCAAGCGUUGUCCGGAAUUAUUGGGCGUAAAGCGCGCGCAGGCGGUUUCUUAAGUCUGAUGUGAAAGCCCCCGGCUCAACCGGGGAGGGUCAUUGGAAACUGGGAAACUUGAGUGCAGAAGAGGAAAGUGGAAUUCCAAGUGUAGCGGUGAAAUGCGUAGAGAUUUGGAGGAACACCAGUGGCGAAGGCGACUUUCUGGUCUGUAACUGACGCUGAGGCGCGAAAGCGUGGGGAGCAAACAGGAUUAGAUACCCUGGUAGUCCACGCUGUAAACGAUGAGUGCUAAGUGUUAGAGGGUUUCCGCCCUUUAGUGCUGAAGUUAACGCAUUAAGCACUCCGCCUGGGGAGUACGGUCGCAAGACUGAAACUCAAAGGAUUGACG